rnacentral:rRNA from 1 species
UGGUUAGGGUUAACGUCCCGUAACGAGCGCAACCCUUGUCCUUAGUUACCAGCACGUUAUGGUGGGCACUCUAAGGAGACUGCCGGUGACAAACCGGAGGAAGGUGGGGAUGACGUCAAGUCAUCAUGGCCCUUACGGCCUGGGCCACACACGUGCUACAAUGGUCGGUACAAAGGGUUGCCAAGCCGCGAGGUGGAGCUAAUCCCAUAAAACCGAUCGUAGUCCGGAUCGCAGUCUGCAACUCGACUGCGUGAAGUCGGAAUCGCUAGUAAUCGUGAAUCAGAAUGUCACGGUGAAUACGUUCCCGGGCCUU